rnacentral:rRNA from 1 species
ACGAACGCUGGCGGCGUGCUUAACACAUGCAAGUCGAACGGAAAGGCCCUGCUUUUGUGGGGUGCUCGAGUGGCGAACGGGUGAGUAACACGUGAGUAACCUGCCCUUGACUUUGGGAUAACUUCAGGAAACUGGGGCUAAUACCGGAUAGGAGCUCCUGCUGCAUGGUGGGGGUUGGAAAGUUUCGGCGGUUGGGGAUGGACUCGCGGCUUAUCAACUUGUUGGUGGGGUAGUGGCUUACCAAGGCUUUGACGGGUAGCCGGCCUGAGAGGGUGACCGGCCACAUUGGGACUGAGAUACGGCCCAGACUCCUACGGGAGGCAGCAGUGGGGAAUAUUGCACAAUGGGCGGAAGCCUGAUGCAGCAACGCCGCGUGCGGGAUGACGGCCUUCGGGCUGUAAACCGCUUUCGCCUGUGACGAAGCGUGAGUGACGGUAAUGGGUAAAGAAGCACCGGCUAACUACGUG